rnacentral:rRNA from 1 species
CCUACGGGAGGCAGCAGUGAGGAAUAUUGGACAAUGGGCGGAAGCCUGAACCAGCGAAGUCGCGUGAGGGAAUAAGGACCUACUGGUCGUAAACCUCUUUUGCCGGGGAGCAAGGGCGGGGACGUGUCCAAGCCCGGCGAGUACCCUACGAGACAGCAUCGGCUAAAUCCCGUCCAGCAGCCGCGGUAAUACGGAGUAUUCGAGAGUUAUCCGGAUUUAUUGGGUUUAAAGGUUGCGUGGGCGGGCUUUUAAGUCAGCGGUAAAAAUUCGGUGCUAAACCCCGGCCGGCCGUUGAAACUGGGGGGCUUGAGUGGGAGAGAAGAAGGCGGAAUGCGUGGUGUAGCGGUGAAAUGCAUAGAUAUCACGCAGAACCCCGAUUGCGAAGGCAGCCUUCCGGCGCCCUACUGACGCUGAGGCACGAAAGUGCGGGGAUCGAACAGGAUUAGAUACCCUUGUAGUC